rnacentral:rRNA from 1 species
CAAAGGCUUGGUCCUGACUUUACUGUCGACUUUAACUAAACUUACACAUGCAAGUAUCCGCCCCCCUGUGAGAAUGCCCACAACUCCCUGCUUGGGAACUAGGAGCCGGUAUCAGGCACAAGCCCAGCUAGCCCACGACGCCUUGCUUAGCCACACCCUCAAGGGAACUCAGCAGUGAUAAAUAUUAAGCCAUAAGUGAAAACUUGACUUAGUUAAGGUUAAAAAAGGCCGGUAAAACUCCGUGCCACCACCGCGGUUAUACGAAGAGGCCAAGUUGACAAACAACGGCGUAAAGAGUGGUUAGGGGAUUUACUAAACUAGAGCCGAACGCUUUCAAAGCUGUUAUACGCACCCGAAAGUAUGAAACCCAAUUACGAAAGUAGCUCUACUCAUCCUGAACCCACGAAAGCUAAGAAACAAACUGGGAUUAGAUACCCCACUAUGCUUAGCCCUAAACAUCGAUUGCACUAUACACUCCAUAUCCGCCCGGGAAUUAUGAACAUCAGUUUAAAACCCAAAGGACUUGGCGGUGCUUAACAUCCACCUAGAGGAGCCUGUUCUAGAACCGAUAACCCCCGUUAAACCUCACCUUCUCUUGUUUUAUCCGCCUAUAUACCACCGUCGUCAGCUUACCCUGUGAAGGCUUUACAGUAAGCAAAAUUGGCACAGCCCAAAACGUCAGGUCGAGGUGUAGUGAAUGAGGAGGGAAGANAUGGGCUACAUUUGCUAAACAUAGCAAACACGAAUGUUGCAUUGAAACAUG